UACGUAGGGACCAAGCGUUGUCCGGAAUCAUUGGGCGUAAAGAGCGUGUAGGCGGCUUGUUAAGUCUUGCGUGAAAAUCUCGGGGGCUCAACCCCGAGCGGUCGUGAGAAACUGGCAGGCUAGAGUGCGGGAGAGGAGAGUGGAAUUCCUGGUGUAGCGGUGAAAUGCGCAGAUAUCAGGAAGAACACCAGUGGCGAAGGCGGCUUUCUGGCCCGUUCUUGACGCUGAGGCGCGAAAGCUAAGGGUAGCAAACGGG
rnacentral:rRNA from 1 species